rnacentral:rRNA from 1 species
GUGAAAGCCCCCGGCUCACCCCGGGGCAGGUCCGCCGAAACGGACACUCUGGAGGGCGGUAGGGGCUGGCGGAACGCCCGGAGUAGCGGUGAAAUGCGUUGAGAUCGGGCAGAACACCAGUGGCGAAGGCGGCCGGCUGGGCCGACCCUGACGCUGAGGCGCGAAAGCCAGGGGAGCGAACGGAAUUAGAUACUCCGGUAGUCCUGGCCCUAAACGAUGGCAACUAGGUGUGGGGGGUAUCGACCCCUUCCGUGCCGUAGCACACGCGAUAAGUUGCCCGCCUGGGGAGUACGGCCGCAAGGCUAAAACUCAAAGGAAUUGACGGGGGCCCGCACAAGCAGCGGAGCGUGUGGUUUAAUUCGACGCGACGCGAAGAACCUUACCGGGGCUUGACAUGGCCACCGAUAGCCGAGAGAUCGGCUAGCCCCUCGGGGGGUGGUCACAGGUGUUGCAUGGCUGUCGUCAGCUCGUGCCGUGAGAUGUUGGGUUAAGUCCCGCAACGAGCGCAACCCUCGCCUUUAGUUGCCAUCAUUCAGUUGGGCACUCUAGAGGGACCGCCGGCGACAAGCCGGAGGAAGGUGGGGAUGACGUCAAGUCCUCAUGGCCCUUACACCCUGGGCUACACACGUGCUACAAUGGCGGUGACAGUGGGCAGCUACUUCGCGAGAAGCGGCUAAUCCCAAAAAACCGUCCCAGUUCAGAUUGUACUCUGCAACUCGAGUACAUGAAGGUGGAAUCGCUAGUAAUCGCAGAACAGCAGGCUGCGGUGAAUACGUUCCCGGGCCUUGUACACACCGCCCGUCACGGCAUGGGAGUUGGUUCUACCUUAAGACGGUGCGCUAACCCGCAAGGGAGGCAGCCGGCCACGGUAGGAUCAGCGACUGGGCCGAAGUCGUAACAAGGUAGCCGUAGGGGAACC